UUUCCGUAGGUGAACCUGCGGAAGGAUCAUUAACGAGUUAGGGUCUUCCAGGCCCGACCUCCCAACCCUAUGUUUGUUGAACCUCUGUUGCUUCGGCGGACCCGCCUCACGGCCGCCGGAGGACCGCUGCAAGGCGUCCUCCGGCCAGCGUCCGCCGAUGGCCAACCACUUAAACUCUGAAUGAAUCGUGUCAUAUGUCUAAGUCUAUGAUUAAAUUAAAGCAAAACUUUCAACAACGGAUCUCUUGGUUCUG
rnacentral:misc_RNA from 1 species